rnacentral:misc_RNA from 1 species
AACCUUAUGGACCUGCGGGCGUAUACCUGCGGAAGGAUCAUUACACUCAGUAGAUUUCUACUGCUCGGGGAGAGGGGAAAGCCCGCCAGAUUGCUUCGGCAGCUGGCGUGCGAGUACGCUCUCUGUCUGCACCCUUGUCUUUUUGCGUACUCAUGUUUCCUCGGCGGGUCCGCCCGCCGUUUGGACACCUUAACCACCUUUUGAAAUUUUCAAUCAGCGUCUGAAUAGCUAUAAUAAUUA